rnacentral:rRNA from 2 species
ACGGGUGAGUAACACGUGGAUAACCUACCUAUAAGACUGGGAUAACUUCGGGAAACCGGAGCUAAUACCAGAUAACAUGUUGAACCGCAUGGUUCAACAGUGAAAGACGGUCUUGCUGUCACUUAUAGAUGGAUCCGCGCCGCAUUAGCUAGUUGGUAAGGUAACGGCUUACCAAGGCAACGAUGCGUAGCCGACCUGAGAGGGUGAUCGGCCACACUGGAACUGAGACACGGUCCAGACUCCUACGGGAGGCAGCAGUAGGGAAUCUUCCGCAAUGGGCGAAAGCCUGACGGAGCAACGCCGCGUGAGUGAUGAAGGUCUUCGGAUCGUAAAACUCUGUUAUUAGGGAAGAACAAAUGUGUAAGUAACUAUGCACGUCUUGACGGUACCUAAUCAGAAAGCCACGGCUAACUACGUGCCAGCAGCCGCGGUAAUACGUAGGUGGCAAGCGUUAUCCGGAAUUAUUGGGCGUAAAGCGCGCGUAGGCGGUUUUUUAAGUCUGAUGUGAAAGCCCACGGCUCAACCGUGGAGGGUCAUUGGAAACUGGAAAACUUGAGUGCAGAAGAGGAAAGUGGAAUU